rnacentral:rRNA from 1 species
UCGCCGCGUGAGGGAUGAAGGCCUCUGGGCUGUAACCUCUUUUAUCAAGGAAGAAGAUUGAGGUCUUGAUGAAUAAGCCACGGCUAAUUCCGUGCCAGCAGCCGCGGUAAUACGGGAGUGGCAAGCGUUAUCCGGAAUUAUUGGGCGUAAAGCGUCCGCAGGCGGUCUUGUAAGUCUGUCGUUAAAGCGUGGAGCUUAACUCCAUUUGAGCGAUGGAAACUGCAAGACUAGAGUGUGGUAGGGGCAGAGGGAAUUCCCGGUGUAGCGGUGAAAUGCGUAGAUAUCGGGAAGAACACCAGUGGCGAAGGCGCUCUGCUGGGCCAUAACUGACGCUCAUGGACGAAAGCCAGGGGAGCGAAAGGGAUUAGAUACCCCUGUAGUCCUGGCCGUAAACGAUGAACACUAGGUGUCGGGGGAAUCGACCCCCUCGGUGUCGUAGCCAACGCGUUAAGUGUUCCGCCUGGGGAGUACGCACGCAAGUGUGAAACUCAAAGGAAUUGACGGGGGCCCGCACAAGCGGUGGAGUAUGUGGUUUAAUUCGAUGCAACGCGAAGAACCUUACCAGGGUUUGACAUCCUGCGAAUCCCUUGGAAACGAGGGAGUGCCUUCGGGAGCGCGGUGACAGGUGGUGCAUGGCUGUCGUCCGCUCGUGUCGUGAGAUGUCGGGUUAAGUCCCGGUACGAG